CCCAGCUGCCCCCCUUACCUUUUUUUUUUUUAAAUCCUUACCUUAUGUCUUAGAAUCAAUAUGGUAUAUUGGUUCCAAGACAGAAAUGUAGUAAGGUCUAGGCAAUGAGGGUUAAGUGACUUGCCAGGGUCACACAGCUAGGAAAUGUUUAAGGACAAAUUUGAACCCAGGACCUCCCAUCUCUAGGCCUGGCUCUCUAUCCACUGAACCAUUUAGCCACCCUAUCCUUAUCUUUCUUAUUUCUGCUGGCCCUAGGCCUUUGGACUCUGGUUUCCUACUUUGACCUAUUUUCUCUCUAUGAUGAAGUGAGCUCAUAGAUAAGCCUCUUUGAAUUGUGAAAUAUGCUGGACCCUUCUCUCUCCCUCCCUGCUUCUCACUUUAGUUAGACUACUAAUCCUGAUGUUUCCCAUUUAUCUCUGUACUAUUUCAGUGUGUCUCACAGCUGUCUGGGACCUGAUCCAGUUUUCUUACUAUACAAGGAUAGCCACCUAUCCUUAACCCACCCUUUCAUCCAUCCGUCCAUCCAUCCAUCCAUCUAUCCAUCCAUCCAUCCAUCCAUCCAUCCAUCCAUCCAUCCAUCCAUCCAUCCAUCUAUCCAUUCAUCCAGACAUGUUUUGGCUGCUAAUUGAACCAAGACUCUGUUCUUAUCAAGGAUCUUCUUCUUACCUUAGAAUCUGACCUGACAUCCAUGUUUCUUGAAAGAGGAGACAUAUGGCAGAUAUGUACACAAUGACAUAUGUCUACAUGGAGAGAAUAUUGAAUUUGGAAUUAGGAGACACAUUUUAGCCCUGGCUCCAAUAUUUAAAUCCUGUGUAACCUUGGAGUCAUCCAAGACCAGUGGAAACACAGAUGUCAGAAUGACUGAUGAUGGCCAGGGAUGCACUGAGUGACCAUGACAUCAUUGAUAUCUGAUCAAGCUUUAGACACUCCACAGUGCCUGCUUCAACCACCUUCAUGGCCCUUGGAACAAAUUGUUCUCAUUCUCCCAUUCCACGGGAAGAAGUCUUCAUAUGCUUGGGGAUAGACAUCCUUCCUAGCUCAGCAAUGGGUUUGAGGUCUAUCAGUUACCCUCUACCUGCUUUAGCCCACUUGCUGAGAUGGUUUACUGGGGCGUUGCCACUGCACAUGCUACAGCUUCUUGGAGCUGCAGGUUCUCCCUUUAAUGAAGAAGUAUGGUGACGCGAAAACAAUGAAGGACUUUGGCCACAUUGGAAAAAUACAUGUAUGUUCUGUUCUUUACCUACCAUCCACCGCCUGUCUGUCGAGGGGGAGGAGGCAGGCUUCAUCAUGAGUCCUCUGAAGUCAUGAUUGGUCACUGCAAUCAUCAGUGUUUUGAGGAACAGGAUCCGUUUCUUCUAUCCUCCUCUGCUACUCACUUGUCUUGCCCCUGAGAACCUGCUGGGGGCUGGCUGAUGAUAAAGUUGAAGCUCAGUCUUGGGGAAGAGGGAUGGCUGGUCAAUGAGAAGUCCUUGAGGACUCAUCAAAAAAUUCUAGAAGGAAUUGUUUUUUUUUAAAUCCUUACCUUCCAUCUUAGAAUCAAUACUGUGUACUGGUUCCGAGGUAGAAGAGAGAUGAGGACGAGGCAAUGGGGAUUAAGUGACUUGCCCAGGGUCACACAGCUAGAAAGUAUUUGAGGCCAGAUUUGAACCCAGGACAUUCCAUCUCUAGGUCUGGCUCUCCAUCCACUGAACCACCCAGCUGCCACUAGAAAGAGUCUUAAAAACUCUAACUUUACAGAGGGAGAAACUGAGACUCAGUGAGAUCCAG
ensembl:lncRNA